GCUGGUGUAGCUCAAUGGUAGAGCAACGGAUUUGUAAUCCGUAGUUGGGGGUUCAAGUCCCUUCACCAGCU
rnacentral:tRNA from 1 species